rnacentral:rRNA from 1 species
UACAGAGGUCCCGAGCGUUGUCCGGAAUCACUGGGCGUAAAGCGCGCGCAGGCGGCUAUCUACGUCCGGGGUGAAAGCCCAGAGCUCAACUCUGGGAUUGCCUUGGAUACGGGAUGGCUUGAGGAUCGGAGAGGCAAGGGGAAUUCCACGUGUAGCAGUGAAAUGCGUAGAGAUGUGGAGGAAUACCGAUGGCGAAGGCAGCCUCCUGGGCCAACACUGACGCUCAUGCACGAAAGCGUGGGGAGCAAACAGG